GAUGAACGCUGGCGGCGUGCCUAAUACAUGCAAGUCGAGCGAACGGACGAGAAGCUUGCUUCUCUGAUGUUAGCGGCGGACGGGUGAGUAACACGUGGAUAACCUACCUCUAAGACUUGGAUAACUUCGGGAAACCGGAGCUAAUACCGGAUGAUACUUUGAACCGCAUGGUUCAAGAGUGAAAGACCGUCUUGCUGUGACUUAUCGAUUGAUCCGCGGUGUAUUAGCUAGUUGGUAAGGUAACGGCUUACCAAGGCGACGAUGCAUAGCCGACCUGAGAGGGUGAACGGCCACACUGGAACUGAGACACGGUCCAGACUCCUACGGGAGGCAGCAGUAGGGAAUCUUCCGCGAAGGGCGGAAGCCUGACGGAGCAACGCCGCGUGGGUGAUGAAGGUCUUCGGAUCGUAAAACUCUGUUAUUAGGGAAGAACAUAUGUGUACGUAACUGUGCACAGCUUGACGGUACCUAAUAAGAAAGCCACGGCUAACUACGUG
rnacentral:rRNA from 1 species